AUGCCCAGCUCGCGCAGCUGCAGCAGGAGCGUGUCCACGCUCGGCGUGCCAUCGGCGUCGUGGACAGUGGUCGGCACGGGCGCGGUGACCCUCGUCGUCUUCGCCGACGUCGUGGUAGCACUUGACGUCGUAGCUCAUACGCAUAUACGCCGGGUACAGAUGGCCGCAUGGGUGCAGCGGAAGGCGAGCGCGGCGGAGAAGCGGCGACGGGCGAGCGCAGCGGUGGGCAAAGCAGCGGAGGGCAAGCUAGGCGAAGCGGAAGACAGUGGAUGGGACGAGGAGCUCCCCCGUGCUCGGCCGCCACCACCGCCGUGCCCCCGC
rnacentral:lncRNA from 2 species